UCAUGCUCAGAUUCAGAGCAACUGAGUUUUUAAUAACUUCACUUAGAUUUUCACAUUGUGGGUUUGAUAUUCAGAAGAAAUAUGACUUCCGGAUAUAGCUUCUGUCUUGCCUUUAUGUUGUUAGGUAUUGUAAACAGUGACACAGUGACACAGGCAGAAUUAACUGAGGAUGCCUAUGAAGGGAAUAAUGUCCAACUUUCAUGUAAUUUCACAGCAGCUAGUACAACCCAGCCUAGCAUAAUCUUCUACCGUCAGAAACCAAAUGGACCAGUUGAAAACCUAGGAGUUGAUGUGGCUAGAUAUAAAAAUAAUUCUGAAAGCGGAAGGUUUUCAGUCAUCUUUGACUAUUCCAAGAGCUUUGCAAUUCUACAUAUCUCCAAUACUCAGGUGUCUGACUCAGCAGUUUAUUAUUGUGCAUUGAGUGACACAGUAACAGUCAGUCCUGUAACACUGUACAAGAAACCAAGCUUCAUGUAAUAGAAAUGUUAUGCAACAAUUUAUCUCCAUCCUAAAUUAAAAUAUAUAUAUUUUAUUGAACGUUGUGCAUUUUAUAUAAACUGUUAAAUGUCAUAUAGCUCACUGUAACAGCUCAAGUUCCACUACUGCUGUCCAACUUCUCAUUCAAACUGAUCCCCUGCAAUUAUUACCCCUCAUUGCCCAAUAAAUUGUUUAUAAAAUCAUCCCCAUAUGAUCUCAGAGACAACACAAAUAAUGCAUUGCCACCACUAAAGUCAUAGUUAUAAAAAAGCAGUACAUUAA